GGAAUCAAAACAAAAUGUUGUUCUUUCCAAACAUGAAUGAAACAGAAACGUUUUUUCCUCUCAAUUCUUAAGAAACCAAAAUGUUAUUUCUUGCUAUUUUAUUAAUAAGCAGAACAUUGAGACUUCUUCUACCAAAUAUUCUUGUUGUAUGCUCUUGUGUUUGCAUCUGGUCUUGCUAAAGACUAAAGGUGCUAUGAUGAGGCUCAAUUGUUUCAAGUACACCUGAUAAUUAAUAAAUCAGAUUUCUCCUUUAAAUUUUGGAUAUGAAAUCGAGCUUCCUGCUGGGUAUCCUCAAAAUCUGUCAAAGCGAAGAAAGAUUUUGCAUUGUAGAAACGUUACUCGUCCAUGAAAUUCUAAGAAGCAGGGGAAAAUUUCGUUCAAUCAAUGAAGGUUUUCCAACAGAAUAUUAUACGGAGUUUUCCCUACUCCAGGUAUAUUAAGGCUAAGUUUUUCCUUCAUUUUAGCAUGAUAUCGUAGUUACAAAAGUCUGAUAACGAGGCAUAAAGAAAAAUUUGUAUCUCGGAAUUUACGUAUAUUUGCUAGUCUAGCAAAUUACCUAUAUUUUCCUAGUUUUGUAAGUUACCAUAUUCUUCUUAUCGGGAUCGCAUAUUUUGUUGAGUAUUUCCUUCUUCAGGUCAAAAGAGCAGAGAGUUUACAUAUAUACAGUAUUAAAAGUAUUUUCAUUACCAUCGUGCUAUAAUCGAUGGGCAGGCCUCUAUUGGGCAACCUCUGAUCAGAUGGUAAGUUAUAUACCGAGCCUACUGUGGUCGAGCGCUUAUGAGCUAGCCCAGUUGGUCGAGAUACAGAACCUAGUAUGGCCGAGCGCUUAUAAGUGAGCCUACUACGGUAAAGCAGUUAUAUAUAUACCGAGCUUUAUAGGGCCGGACAACUAUUUUACUUACUAUAUUGAGAGAGCUGAGUUUGUAUCAGCAGGUAAGCAUAUCUUCAGAUUAUCCUUGACUUCCAGCUACUUGCAAUUAUUAUAUUAUCAGUUCAGUUUCAUCUUCCAGUAUAUUGGCUUACAUACUCGGUACAUUAUUUCGUAUUGAUGUCCCUUUUUCUGGGGGCGCUACAUUUCAUGCGUGCAGGUUCAGACAGACUGACGGGUAGGCCUCCUCAUUAAGUGUUGCUCGAGUUCAGCUUGAUCAGUAAGCUCCAUGCCUUUCGGAGUUUUUGGGUCUAGAGCCUUAUGUACAUCUUGUAUAUAUAUACAUAUAUAUGUUAUGAGUAGGUCAGAGAGCUAUUCCGAUUACAGUAUAUCCAUCAGUAAAGGCUUGUAGAUAUAUAUUGUCAGUUAGUGCAAUAUAUUGGGUUUUCAGGCCUUGUAUGUAUUUUUGGUUGGUUUGUUAGCUCUAAUAAUUAUGACGGCUUUAUCGGCCAAGUUUUAUAUUGACAUUUAGCCAGCAUUCGCAGUUGUCUUGCAAUGUGGCCCAUGGCC
rnacentral:lncRNA from 1 species